GCCCGGAUGGCGGAAUUGGUAGACGCCCUCGACUUAAGAUCGAGUAUCGUAAGGUGUGUGGGUUCGAGUCCCGCUCCGGGCA
rnacentral:tRNA from 1 species